GACGAACGCUGGCGGCGUGCUUAACACAUGCAAGUCGAACGGAAAGGCCUCUUUCGGGGGGUACUCGAGUGGCGAACGGGUGAGUAACGCGUGAGUAACCUGCCCUUGACUUUGGGAUAACUUCAGGAAACUGGGGCUAAUACCGGAUAGGAGCUCCUGCUGCAUGGUGGGGGUUGGAAAGUUUUGGCGGUUGGGGAUGGACUCGCGGCUUAUCAGCUUGUUGGUGGGGUAGUGGCUUACCAAGGCUUUGACGGGUAGCCGGCCUGAGAGGGUGACCGGCCACAUUGGGACUGAGAUACGGCCCAGACUCCUACGGGAGGCAGCAGUGGGGAAUAUUGCACAAUGGGUGGAAGCCUGAUGCAGCAACGCCGUGUGCGGGAUGACGGCCUUCGGGUUGUAAACCGCUUUCGCUCAUGACGAAGCUUUGUGUGACGGUAGUGGGUAAAGAAGCACCGGCUAACUACGUG
rnacentral:rRNA from 1 species